rnacentral:rRNA from 1 species
UACGUAGGGGGCGAGCGUUGUCCGGAUUUAUUGGGCGUAAAGAGCUCGUAGGCGGCUUGUUGCGUCAGCUGUGAAAACCCGCAACUCAACUGUGGGCUUGCAGCUGAUACGGGCAGGCUUGAGUUCGGUAGGGGAGACUGGAAUUCCUGGUGUAGCGGUGAAAUGCGCAGAUAUCAGGAGGAACACCGGUGGCGAAGGCGGCAUCCUGGACCAAUAUUGACGCUGAGGAGCGAAAGCCAGGGGAGCAAACGGG